rnacentral:tRNA from 1 species
GCCCCGGUAGCUCAGUUGGAUAGAGCGUCCGCCUCCUAAGCGGAAGGUCCCAGGUUCGAAUCCUGGUCGGGGCGCCA